rnacentral:rRNA from 1 species
AUUGAACGCUGGCGGCAGGCUUAACACAUGCAAGUCGAGCGAGCGGCGGACGGGUGAGUCAUGUCUGGGAAACUGCCUGAUGGAGGGGGAUAACUACUGGAAACGGUAGCUAAUACCGCAUACCAUCAGAUGUGCCCAGAUGGGAUUAGCUAGUAGGUGGGGUAAUGGCUCACCUAGGCGACGAUCCCUAGCUGGUCUGAGGGGAUGACCAGCACCACUGGAACGAGGAACGGGUACAGACGCCUACGGGGGGCAGCAGGGGGGAAUAUUGCACAAUGGGCGCAAGCCUGAUGCAGCCAGGCCGGGUGUGGGAAGAGGGCCUUCGGGUUGUAAAGCACUUUCAGCGAGGAGGCGUUACUCGCAGAGGAAGCACCGGCUAACUCCGUGCCAGCAGCCGCGGUAAUU